rnacentral:rRNA from 1 species
CUUCGAGCGGGGGAUAACGUCCCGAAAGGGACGCUAAUACCGCAUAACAUCCUGCCUUUGAAGAGGUGGAGAUCAAAGCUGGGGAUCGCAAGACCCGGCACUUGAAGAGGGGCCCGCGUCUGAUUAGCUAGUUGGUGGGGUAACGGCCUACCAAGGCAACGAUCAGUAUCCGGCCUGAGAGGGCGGACGGACACACUGGGACUGAGACACGGCCCAGACUCCUACGGGAGGCAGCAGUGGGGAAUUGUUCGCAAUGGGCGCAAGCCUGACGACGCAACGCCGCGUGGAGGAUGAAGAUUUUCGGAUCGUAAACUCCUGUCGAAUGGGACGAAUAGGUCGCGGGUUAACAGCCCGCAAUCCUGACGGUACCGUUAAAGGAAACCCCGGCUAACUCCGUGCCAGCAGCCGCGGUAAUACGGGGGGGGUAAGCGUUGUUCGGAAUUACUGGGCGUAAAGGGCUCGUAGGCGGCCAACUAAGUCAUACGUGAAAUCCCUCAGCUUAACUGGGGAACUGCGUGUGAUACUGGAUGGCUUGGAUUUGGGAGAGGGAUGCGGAAUUCCAGGUGUAGCGGUGAAAUGCGUAGAUAUCUGGAGGAACACCGGUGGCGAAGGCGGCAUCCUGGACCAAUAUUGACGCUGAGGAGCGAAAGCCAGGGGAGCAAACGGGAUUAGAUACCCCGGUAGUCCUGGCCCUAAACGAUGAAUGCUUGGUGUAGCGGGUAUCGAUCCCUGCUGUGCCGAAGCUAACGCAUUAAGCAUUCCGCCUGGGGAGUACGGUCGCAAGGCUG